rnacentral:rRNA from 1 species
GUCGAGAAUUUUUCUCAAUGGGCGAAAGCCUGAAGGAGCGACGCCGCGUGGGGGAUGAAUGGCUUCGGCCCGUAAACCCCUGUCAUUUGCGAACAAGUGGUUUCACCUAACACGUGAAGCCUUGAUUGUAGCGAAAGAGGAAGGGACGGCUAACUCUGUGCCAGCAGCCGCGGUAAUACAGAGGUCCCAAGCGUUGUUCGGAUUUACUGGGCGUAAAGGGUGCGUAGGUUGUCGGGCAAGUCUGACGUGAAAUCUCCAAGCCUAACUUGGAAAAUGCGUUGGAAACUGCUCGGCUAGAGGAAUGGAGGGGAGACUGGAAUACUUGGUGUAGCAGUGAAAUGCGUAGAUAUCAAGUGGAACACCAGUGGCGAAGGCGAGUCUCUGGACAUUUCCUGACGCUGAAGCACGAAAGCCAGGGGAGCAAACGGGAUUAGAUACCCGUGUAGUCC